rnacentral:rRNA from 1 species
GACGAACGCUGGCGGCGUGCUUAACACAUGCAAGUCGAACGAUGAAGCUGGAGCUUGCUCUGGUGGAUUAGUGGCGAACGGGUGAGUAACACGUGAGUAACCUGCCCUGGACUCUGGGAUAACCCCGAGAAAUCGGAGCUAAUACCGGAUAGGACCUCGGAUCGCAUGAUCUGGGGUGGAAAGUUUUUCGGUCUGGGAUGGACUCGCGGCCUAUCAGCUUGUUGGUGAGGUAAUGGCUUACCAAGGCGUCGACGGGUAGCCGGCCUGAGAGGGUGACCGGCCACACUGGGACUGAGACACGGCCCAGACUCCUACGGGAGGCAGCAGUGGGGAAUAUUGCACAAUGGGCGCAAGCCUGAUGCAGCAACGCCGCGUGCGGGACGACGGCCUUCGGGUUGUAAACCGCUUUUAGUAAGGAAGAAGCCGCAAGGUGACGGUACUUGCAGAAAAAGGACCGGCUAACUACGUGCCAGCCGCCGCAGUAACAC